AGAGUUUGAUCAUGGCUCAGAACGAACGCUGGCGGCGUGGAUAAGACAUGCAAGUCGGACGGGACUUUUUCUUGUAGCAAUACGAGGGAAAGUUCAGUGGCGAUCGGGUGCGUAACACGUGGGCAAUCUGCCUUAAAGUGUGGAAUAGCUCGGCGAAAGCCGAAUUAAUACCGCAUGUGGCUACUGGAGACAUCUUCGGGACGCUAAAGGUGGCGCAAGCUACCGCUUUUUGAGGAGCCCGCGGCCUAUCAGCUUGUUGGUGAGGUAACGGCUCACCAAGGCGUUGACGGGUAGCUGGUCUGAGAGGACGACCAGCCACACUGGGACUGAGACACGGCCCAGACACCUACGGGUGGCAGCAGUCGAGAAUUUUUGACAAUGGGGGAAACCCUGAUCGAGCGACGCCGCGUGGAGGAUGAAGGUCUUCGGGUUGUAAACUCCUGUCAUUUGGGAACAAGGCGUAUUUAUUAACUGUAAGUACGUUGAUAGUACCAGAAGAGGAAGAGACGGCUAACUCUGUGCCAGCAGCCGCGGUAAUACAGAGGUCUCAAGCGUUGUUCGGAUUCAUUGGGCGUAAAGGGUGUGUAGGUGGCGCGCUAAGUCGGGUGUGAAAUUUCGGAGCUUAACUCCGAAACUGCAUUCGAUACUGGCGUGCUUGAGGACUGGAGAGGAGACUGGAAUUUACGGUGUAGCAGUGAAAUGCGUAGAUAUCGUAAGGAAGACCAGUGGCGAAGGCGGGUCUCUGGACAGUUCCUGACACUGAGACACGAAGGCCAGGGGAGCAAACGGGAUUAGAUACCCCAGUAGUCC
rnacentral:rRNA from 1 species